rnacentral:rRNA from 1 species
GCGUGCCUAACACAUGCAAGUUGAGCGGAGACUAUGGAGCUUGCUUUAUAUAACUUAGCAGCGAACGGGUGAGUAACACGUAGAUAAUCUAUCCUAUACUGGGGGAUAGCCCGAUGAAAGUUGGAUUAAUACCGCAUAUAGCUAUAUAGUUGCAUGAUUAUGUAGUGAAAGAUUUAUUGGUAUAGGAGGAGUCUGCGGCACAUUAGCUAGUAGGUGAGGUAAAGGCUUACCUAGGCGACGAUGUGUAGCCGGUCUGAGAGGAUGAACGGCCACAAUGGAACUGAGACACGGUCCAUACUCCUACGGGAGGCAGCAGUGGGGAAUAUUGCACAAUGGGGGAAACCCUGAUGCAGCAACGCCGCGUGAGUGAAGAAGGUUUUCGGAUUGUAAAGCUCUGUUAGCAGGGAAGAGGAAGGACGGUACCUGCAGAGGAAGCCACGGCUAACUACGUGCCAGCAGCCACGGUAAUACGUAGGUGGCAAGCGUUGUUCGGAAUAACUGGCGUAAAGGAUGCGUAGCGGGUUAAACAAGUUUAUUUUAAAUAUAUAGGCUUAACCUGUAGAAAGCAUAUAAAACUGUUUAACUAGAGUGCAGGAGAGGUAGGUGGAAUUCCUAGUGUAGCGGUGAAAUGCGUAGAGAUUAGGAAGAACACCAGUGGCGAAGGCGACUUACUGGACUGUAACUGACGCUGAGGCAUGAGAGCAUGGGGAGCAAACAGGAUUAGAUACCCUGGUAGUCCAUGCUGUAAACGAUGGGUACUAGGUGUGGGUUGUGAAUAACAAUUCGUGCCGUCGCAAACGCAAUAAGUACCCCGCCUGAGGAGUACGAUCGCAAGAUUAAAACUCAAAGGAAUUGACGGGGACCCGCACAAGCAGCGGAGCAUGUGGUUUAAUUCGAAGCAACGCGAAGAACCUUACCUAAACUUGACAUACCUUGAAUUACCUUGUAAUGAGGGAAGCUCGCAAGAGCAAGGAUACAGGUGGUGCAUGGUUGUCGUCAGCUCGUGUCGUGAGAUGUUGGGUUAAGUCCCGCAACGAGCGCAACCCUUGUUGUUAAUUGCUAACAGGUUAAGCUGAGCACUUUAGCGAGACAGCCUAGGUUAACUAGGAGGAAGGUGGGGAUGACGUCAAAUCAUCAUGCCCCUUACGUUUAGGGCUACACACGUGCUACAAUGGUGAGAACAGAGAGAAGCAAGCUAGUGAUAGUGAGCAAAACUUAUAAAACUCAUCUCAGUUCGGAUUGCAGGCUGAAACUCGCCUGUAUGAAGAUGGAGUUGCUAGUAAUCAAGAAUCAGAAUGUCGCGGUGAAUACGUUCCCG